GAGAUUGAUCAUCACUUGUAUGAAUUCGGGUGCGUGGAAUACCAUGUUCAGGUUAGUCUAUUGCACUCUUAGCAUGAUAAUUACAGAUAACUUAUGUCAACACCAACAGUUGGAAUGACUCAGCAUCUGGAAAUCUGCAGUUGUGGAAAUAAUUGAGAUUAAUGGCUGUGUGCAUGCUAAAAAAGGACAUGCCUACUAUCUGUCAAUUUGAGCUAUCCUGACAUAUAUAGGCUUUCAACAAAAUGUUGAGAAUUAUUCUGGUAAUCAUCCUGUAAUGUUCACAGUCUUCUGCAGCUGAUCCACAAAAUAACUACCUGUCAUUAUCAACUCCACUACUGUCCCAGGGAGCCCUGCUAUCAUGUGGUUUGUCAUCGUACACUACGCAGAUGGUAAAGCAAGUUUGCUCGGAUGCUGUGGAGAUUGUUGAACCUGCAAAAGAAGGAUAUCAGCUUACCCUAAAGCUAAAUCUUGCAAAGAUUCCACGUGGAAAAGGUUUGCUACUUCUCCAAAUCAUCGCGAUAACAAUAAUUAUAUAUAAAAAAACAAGAGCUUAUUGGUACUUUGUGGCACAUACUAGUGCUGUCUUGAAUUUAAGCAUGUUAUUCCUUCUAUUCACCUAAAAAUAGAGAGUGGUUUUCAAUAUAUUAUAAAAUCAGUACGGAAUAUACAGAGAACAUAGAUUCAAACUAUCAGUCUACAAAAGAAGAAAGAAAGCUUGAACGAGAAGAAAGUUGUGUAAAUUCUUUACACAAACAAGAGAUACAAGAACUCCAUGCAGUAAACCUGAGUUCAGGUGUUACAGCAAAGACAAAUUAACAGUACAAAGAAAAGUUCAACCACCCAAACUAGACAUUUUAAACCUGACAUUUUGAAUCUUUGAUCAACUACAGUACCAGAUCACUGUAGUACUUAGUUAGCUGUCCUCUUAAAUAACAGGUUUCCUGCUUCUGCCAGUUCCACCGUCCACAAUCUCAGAUUUGAAGACAUCCAUACCAAGUUUUCUGUGACACUGAGAGCAGGAAAUAAAGAGAUCAGCUGAUAAUACUCCUGAAAAGAGUCAACAACUCAGAAAAUAGUACCAUCUGUUUAGGUGGAGAGCUGAAAUAAUAAUAAGAGCUGAACAAAAUAUUUGAAAAAAGGACUUCUACUAAAUGUAGACAAAGCAUUCAACUCAAGAUCCUAAAACUAAUUAGAACUAGUGAAAAAGAAAUUUUAUGCUGAAUGACUUGUAAUUGAAGCCUGUGUAAUCUUCAAGAUUUGGAGCAUGAAAAUAAUAACAUCAUGAUCUUCCUUAUCCAAGCAUUUUGUAAGGAAUGAAAGGAUAACGAAGAAAAUCUUGAUAGGAAAUGUUUAUUUUUUUGUCCAUUUUCAUACCAUGCUGUGAAAUUUCUGCACUUCAUAAUCAUGCUGAUACAAAUGUUCCUUUCCAGACCCUUACAAAGUGAUUACGCAAAUUUCCUCAGUGCAAGCAGUUAUACUAUGUUCCCAGCUGAAAGAAAUGUUGAGAAAUGUCAAUU
rnacentral:lncRNA from 1 species